AUUGAACGCUGGCGGCAUGCUUUACACAUGCAAGUCGAACGGUAACAGGCCUUCGGGUGCUGACGAGUGGCGAACGGGUGAGUAAUGCAUCGGAACGUGCCCAGAGGUGGGGGAUAACGCAGCGAAAGCUGUGCUAAUACCGCAUGUGAUCUGAGGAUGAAAUCGGGGGACCAGGCAGCAAUGUUUGGCCUCGCGCCUUUGGAGCGGCCGAUGUCAGAUUAGGUAGUUGGUGGGGUAAAGGCCUACCAAGCCGACGAUCUGUAGCUGGUCUGAGAGGACGACCAGCCACACUGGGACUGAGACACGGCCCAGACUCCUACGGGAGGCAGCAGUGGGGAAUUUUGGACAAUGGGCGCAAGCCUGAUCCAGCAAUGCCGCGUGCGGGAAGAAGGCCUUCGGGUUGUAAACCGCUUUUGUACGGAACGAAAAGGCUCUGGCUAAUACCUGGGGCUGAUGACGGUACCGUAAGAAUAAGCACCGGCUAACUACGUG
rnacentral:rRNA from 1 species